AUUGAACGCUGGCGGCAGGCCUAACACAUGCAAGUCGAGCGAGCGGCGGACGGGUGAGUAAUGUCUGGGGAACUGCCUGAUGGAGGGGGAUAACUACUGGAAACGGUAGCUAAUACCGCAUACCAUCGGAUGUACCCAGAUGGGAUUAGCUAGUAGGUGGGGUAAUGGCUCACCUAGGCGACGAUCCCUAGCUGGUCUGAGAGGAUGACGAGCCACACUGGAACUGAGACACGGUCCAGACUCCUACGGGAGGCAGCAGUGGGGAAUAUUGCACAAUGGGCGCAAGCCUGAUGCAGCCAUGCCGCGUGUGUGAAGAAGGCCUUCGGGUUGUAAAGCACUUUCAGCGAGGAGGCGUUACUCGCAGAAGAAGCACCGGCUAACUCCGUGCCAGCCGCCGCGGUAAUAC
rnacentral:rRNA from 1 species